rfam:Mesocricetus auratus contig009823, whole genome shotgun sequence.
GGAUGUGAGGGCAAUCUGACUGCGACAUCUGUCACCCCAUUGAUGGCCAGGGUUGAUUUGGCUGAUCUGGCUGGCUAGAUGUGCUCCAUGUGCGUCCCUCCUGAAGCUGCUUGCUCGGUCGAAGAGGAUGCCCUUCCCCGAACAGAGGAGGACCAGUCUUUGGUCAAGGGUAUAGCUGCGCUCCUCUGCUAGAACCUUCAAACAAGCUCUCAGGAAUAGUCUUGGCCUUCACAUUUAGGGACCCUAGUAGAAAGCAUGGGUGGGCUAAAGCCUGAAUCUUGAAUUGCCUUGGCAGGCCAUGGA